rnacentral:rRNA from 1 species
CAGUCGCCGCGGUAAUACGUAGGGUGCAAGCGUUAAUCGGAAUUACUGGGCGUAAAGCGUGCGCAGGCGGUUAUAUAAGACAGAUGUGAAAUCCCCGGGCUCAACCUGGGAACUGCAUUUGUGACUGUAUAGCUAGAGUACGGCAGAGGGGGAUGGAAUUCCGCGUGUAGCAGUGAAAUGCGUAGAUAUGCGGAGGAACACCGAUGGCGAAGGCAAUCCCCUGUGCCUGUACUGACGCUCAUGCACGAAAGCGUGGGGAGCAAACAGGAUUAGAUACCCCUGUAGUCCCUGUCUCUUAUAC